rnacentral:rRNA from 1 species
GAGUUUGAUCCUGGCUCAGAUUGAACGCUGGCGGCAUGCUUUACACAUGCAAGUCGAACGGUAACAGGGAGCUUGCUCCGCUGACGAGUGGCGAACGGGUGAGUAAUGCAUCGGAACGUGCCGUGUAAUGGGGGAUAACGUAGCGAAAGUUACGCUAAUACCGCAUACGCCCUGAGGGGGAAAGUGGGGGACCGCAAGGCCUCACGUUAUACGAGCGGCCGAUGUCGGAUUAGCUAGUUGGUGGGGUAAAGGCCUACCAAGGCGACGAUCCGUAGCGGGUCUGAGAGGAUGAUCCGCCACACUGGGACUGAGACACGGCCCAGACUCCUACGGGAGGCAGCAGUGGGGAAUUUUGGACAAUGGGGGCAACCCUGAUCCAGCCAUGCCGCGUGAGUGAAGAAGGCCUUCGGGUUGUAAAGCUCUUUCAGGUGGAAAGAAAUCGCAUCUUUUAAUACAGGGUGUGGAUGACGGUACCAUCAGAAGAAGCACCGGCUAACUACGUGCCAGCAGCCGCGGUAAUCCC